ensembl:lncRNA
CACAGCCUAACUUCUUCCUGCCUGCUGCAGCCAGAGGUACUGUGUGUGGACACUCCUCUGGUUUUUCUCUGACACUGCAACCUGGAGACAAGUCAUUUCUCUAAUGAAGCCAUGCAAAUAUCAUGUGUUCCUCCGUGGAAAGAAGUGGAGAAGGCCAGGAGCAACAGGACACAGAGCAAACUUAAGUUACAAAGUCCUAACCGGAAGCAAGCAGAGAUGCUGGAGCUGUCCUGGAGAAAGAUAGAGUCACAGAAUCAUAGAACCACCAAGGCUGGAAAAGAUCUCCAAGGUCCAACCCAGUCCAACCUCAACUCACCCCCACCACGCCCACUGACCAUGACCCCUCAGUGUCACACCUCCACAUUUCUUGAAC